CAUGUACUCCCUCCGUCCCAUAUUAAGUGGCUUUCUAUUACAUGUAUCUAGACGUUUUUAGGCAUAGAUACAUUCAUAUUUGGUCAAAUUUGAGUCAGUUAAUAUGGGACGGAGGGAGUAACAG
rfam:Brachypodium distachyon strain Bd21 chromosome 3, whole genome shotgun sequence.